rnacentral:lncRNA from 1 species
AACUUCUGGCCUAUAUUCAUUAACAUUCAUUAUGGUUUUCUGUAUUUCCUAAAUCAGGCUAUACUAGCACUGCCUAUUUAAAAUUCUGAAACUUUUUAUUAACUUCCUGUGUUAUUAGCAUUUUGCAUACCAAUUUGGUUCCUUAUGUGAAGUUAUCAUUUUUUUCUUUCUGGCAGGGAGGCUUUAUUCUCGAUAUGGGUGUGCAUUUCAUUGCGGGGUUAAGAAUGGUAAUAUUCAAAAUUUUACUGUCUAAUUCACAGACAAUUUUAUUCAUUAACUUGUGUUCUUCUGUAUUUCCUAAUGCAA